GGGCGCUAUCCAGCGGGAACAUUUCCAGGGUGGACGAGGGUGGUCCGCGGCCUCCCAGGAAGUGGGAGGAGGUCUCUGAGAUCUUUUGUUCCCUGCGUCCUGGCCUCUGAGCAUCUCUGGGUACCGAGUCCCAUCUCUCAGAGGGUACCCCGCGGAGAGGAACAGCCGCCAGUGAGCGCUUUGUCAACCACGAUGUACCGGAACUCCCUGCUUAUAAGCCUCUGGUCCAGAGCAGCUUUUACUAGGACCACCGUGAUACUAGACAGAGAAGAUCCUGCCAGGCGGUUUCCAGGGAGGCAGGUGCGUAAGCUUUCAAAUAGCAACCAUACCCGCCAAACUCACCAAGAUGACCCCAUGAUCAGUUGCCAGAAUGGUGGGAUCGCAGGGUCUCGGCCUGCAGAACGUCCAAGCGAUUACAUGGCCUUUCUAGUGCCUGCUCUAGUGAGCUUCUGCGGUUGCCUGUGGCUGUCUUGUUUCUAGAACCAACCAUCCACUCUCUCCCCACCUUCCCCCCGCCCCGAAGAAGGAUAUUUGGAAAAACGGAAACAAAAAACAAACAAGACUGAAAGCUCAGGAAAUGCCCGGAGCCUAAGUGCCCACCUGUCCAGUCGCAGCUGGCACACGAUGCCCAGGACGUCCACCUCCCCUUGGGCCUUAAGCUGUUGGCAGCCAAUGCGGGUGGCGAUGAAGCAGCCGGUCCGGCCGAUCCCUGCGCUGGGUCCAGGGAUCCAGGG